rnacentral:rRNA from 1 species
GACAGAGGGUGCAAACGUUGUUCGGAAUUACUGGGCGUAAAGCGUGUGUAGGCGGUCUGCUAAGUCGGAUGUGAAAGCCCCGGGCUCAACCCGGGAAGUGCACUCGAAACUGGAAGGCUAGAGUAUCGGAGAGGUUGGUGGAAUUCUCGGUGUAGAGGUGAAAUUCGUAGAUAUCGAGAGGAACACCGGUGGCGAAGGCGGCCAACUGGACGAAUACUGACGCUGAGACUCGAAAGCGUGGGGAGCAAACAGG